GUUCGAUCUGUUCGAUUAGGUUAUAGGUUAUAGGUGUACAUUUGAUACUACAUUAACUACAUUUGUUCACCGUACAAAAUAGUGAGCAGAUAUUGGGUGCAUUCUAUUUAAAAUCCAUACAGAAGAAAAAAGUCAUUGUGAUUGACAGCGUGUAAGCCGCAUUUUUAUAUUCCAAAAUCUUAAUUAUAUUUAAAAGAAAUAAUCCAAUUUUAUAAUUGUGUUUAAUUUUAUUUUAAACUGUUUUUUUUUUUAAUUCUUAUCUAUCUAGUAAAAUGACAUAUAACGUUUUGGUAUCAUACCCAUUUUCUAUCAUUUCUCUCAUUAUCAAAGAUGUACGUGUGUUUAUCAUGUCAUUCUUUAUAUUUUGUUUAUUCGCGAAUACAUUAAAUUUUAUAUUUAUUAAAA